ensembl:piRNA 21ur-2570 ncRNA
UUGAUUUUGCAUAAAAUUUGA